UUGAAGAGUUUGAUCAUGGCUCAGAUUGAACGCUGGCGGCAGGCCUAACACAUGCAAGUCGAGCGGUAGCACAGAGAGCUUGCUCUCGGGUGACGAGCGGCGGACGGGUGAGUAAUGUCUGGGAAACUGCCUGAUGGAGGGGGAUAACUACUGGAAACGGUAGCUAAUACCGCAUAACGUCGCAAGACCAAAGUGGGGGACCUUCGGGCCUCAUGCCAUCAGAUGUGCCCAGAUGGGAUUAGCUAGUAGGUGGGGUAACGGCUCACCUAGGCGACGAUCCCUAGCUGGUCUGAGAGGAUGACCAGCCACACUGGAACUGAGACACGGUCCAGACUCCUACGGGAGGCAGCAGUGGGGAAUAUUGCACAAUGGGCGCAAGCCUGAUGCAGCCAUGCCGCGUGUGUGAAGAAGGCCUUCGGGUUGUAAAGCACUUUCAGCGGGGAGGAAGGCGGUGAGGUUAAUAACCUCAUCGAUUGACGUUACCCGCAGAAGAAGCACCGGCUAACUCCGUGCCAGCAGCCGCGGUAAUACGGAGGGUGCAAGCGUUAAUCGGAAUUACUGGGCGUAAAGCGCACGCAGGCGGUCUGUCAAGUCGGAUGUGAAAUCCCCGGGCUCAACCUGGGAACUGCAUUCGAAACUGGCAGGCUAGAGUCUUGUAGAGGGGGGUAGAAUUCCAGGUGUAGCGGUGAAAUGCGUAGAGAUCUGGAGGAAUACCGGUGGCGAAGGCGGCCCCCUGGACAAAGACUGACGCUCAGGUGCGAAAGCGUGGGGAGCAAACAGGAUUAGAUACCCUGGUAGUCCACGCCGUAAACGAUGUCGAUUUGGAGGUUGUGCCCUUGAGGCGUGGCUUCCGGAGCUAACGCGUUAAAUCGACCGCCUGGGGAGUACGGCCGCAAGGUUAAAACUCAAAUGAAUUGACGGGGGCCCGCACAAGCGGUGGAGCAUGUGGUUUAAUUCGAUGCAACGCGAAGAACCUUACCUGGUCUUGACAUCCACAGAACUUAGCAGAGAUGCUUUGGUGCCUUCGGGAACUGUGAGACAGGUGCUGCAUGGCUGUCGUCAGCUCGUGUUGUGAAAUGUUGGGUUAAGUCCCGCAACGAGCGCAACCCUUAUCCUUUGUUGCCAGCGGUUAGGCCGGGAACUCAAAGGAGACUGCCAGUGAUAAACUGGAGGAAGGUGGGGAUGACGUCAAGUCAUCAUGGCCCUUACGACCAGGGCUACACACGUGCUACAAUGGCAUAUACAAAGAGAAGCGACCUCGCGAGAGCAAGCGGACCUCAUAAAGUAUGUCGUAGUCCGGAUUGGAGUCUGCAACUCGACUCCAUGAAGUCGGAAUCGCUAGUAAUCGUAGAUCAGAAUGCUACGGUGAAUACGUUCCCGGGCCUUGUACACACCGCCCGUCACACCAUGGGAGUGGGUUGCAAAAGAAGUAGGUAGCUUAACCUUCGGGAGGGCGCUUACCACUUUGUGAUUCAUGACUGGGGUGAAGUCGUAACAAGGUAACCGUAGGGGAACCUGCGGUUGGAUCACCUCCUU
rnacentral:rRNA from 1 species